rnacentral:rRNA from 1 species
CCUACGGGUGGCAGCAGUAGGGGAUAUUGCACAAUGGGGGAAACCCUGAUGCAGCGACGCCGCGUGAGUGAAGAAGUAUUUCGGUAUGUAAAGCUCUAUCAGCAGGGAAGAAAAUGACAGUACCUGACCAAGAAGCCCCGGCUAACUACGUGCCAGCAGCCGCGGUAAUACGGAGGGGGCAAGCGUUAUCCGGAUUUACUGGGUGUAAAGGGAGCGUAGGCGGGUAUGUAAGUCUGGAGUGAAAGCCCGGGGCCCAACCCCGGGACUGCAUUGGAAACUGUGUAACUGGAGUACAGGAGGGGCAGGUGGAAUUCCUGGUGUAGCGGUGAAAUGCGUAGAUAUCAGGAGGAAUAC